rfam:Dipodomys ordii contig_51230, whole genome shotgun sequence.
GGUGGCUCAGUGGUAGAGUACUUGCCUUGCAUGCAUGAGGCCUUGGGUUCGAUUCCUCAGCACCA